UAAUAAACAAUGUAUCAUCAUAAUAUAAUAUGUGUAGUGUUGCUUCUACGGAAUCCCGAUUAUUACGUUUCACAGAGAUAACAUUACAAUCUACGAUGUUAAUACCAUAUUACGCUAAUGAAUAAUGAUAACGACAGAUAAAAAUGUUGGAACAAAGUCCGUACCAUAAUCGAGUUUCAAAAUCGAAUUUUCAUUUGAAACUAGUCGAGUUGCGUUCUUGUGUUCCGUCAAUCAGUACGGAGCUGUCAGUCUCAAUUGUCAAACGUCAAAGCAAAAGCAGUGUUCUUGUUGACUUGUGUUUUGUAAGAAAGAAAGAAUUCAAUUCGAGAGAUAAUAAUUUGGUUGCAUAUUUUUUAUAACUGAGAUCGUUAAUAUUUAUUAUAAUGUCACGUGUUUAUGAGGACUUUUUUUGCUAUUAUACAAUUUCUAAUAAUGUGGUGGUGUCCAAAAGGGAUUACAGUGCUUUAUGGAGGUGAUAUUAAGAACAUUAAAUACUGAGAAUUGUGUGACUGGUAUGUAACGACACCCGAUUUAUGUGUCGAUCAAGUGUAUUAAGUGCAAUGCACGAUUUCACGAUAGUUUGUAGGUAAACAAAUGUAUAUUCAUAAAUACGAGAGGCAAUUCAAAACUAUUCAUAUACCAAAACCACACAUUCAGGUUUAUGUAUAAGAAAGCAUACGGGAGCCAGCUGUGGUAUUGCUGGUACUUCUUCAGCAGAUGUUGUCCGGCGAAGCUCCGGAUAAAUGAUGCGGGGAAGGUGACGGAGAGCAUAGGCCGGCAUAACCAUGACCCUCCGACCUGCUGGAUGACUCCUGAUGGCAAGUCAUACAACUUGCCACCGCUGCCCUGCAAGAACAACGACCGAAGAACACCAUAAGGCUACAGACGUUGCAACAAAAGGCAUGCGAUUUUAAAUAAUUGCUGUUUAAGUUGCAAGCAGCAGGCGUGGCUCACUCGGCGAUUUCGUCGCGUCGCUACAAGUACAUGCGGCUAACACCAGUUUUGGUGUCUAGCCAUAGUAGUUGCCGCGCACCGCUAGGGAACGGACGCCUGCUCGCACUUGCGCCACCUAGCGGUCAUAGCUGUCGUAAUAGACACGUUUUGUUAGAGAGUAAACCUUCUGUACCUAGUACUAUUCUUUAUUCUGUGGUAAGAGCAACGAUGCAGCAAUGUAUUUCAAAUCGCAUGCGAUUAUCGGUGACGUUUGGAGAGGCCUAAAACCUAAUAUCAUGUGAUGAAAACAUUGUUUUAUUUGUUUCACUGCCCUGUAAAUAUGAGAACAAAGUUUAUAUUAAGUAAGUAUAAUUAUGUUGAGAUUCUAUUUGCCUUUAUAUUUUUAUUGUUAUUAUGAAUUGUUUAACACUUUUAGAUUAAUUAGGGUUUAAGCAUGUCAUGUCCACAAAUUAUUCAAAGAAUGAGAUAUUUGUUAUUUAUACAUACAGAUUAUCUAAAUUGAUGUUUUAUAUGUACAUGUUUUAUUUUAUUUGCCAUAAAAAAUAUAAAAAUGUCUGGUUUUUAAUGCCCAGUGAGACUAAUAUCUCUCACAAAUGUAAUUUUUUUUAAGUAAUUGGUUAACUGGGCAAGGUUUGUGGCGUUUUUAAACAAACAAAAGGCUGCUGCUAUUAAUAACGAUUUUUAACUGUAGGUAAACUGAUAUUGUGGUACCUUUUGGCUUAGAAAAUGAUGUUAAAAUUAUCUUCAUGACAAGCAUAGGUAUAUUAUUUUAUGAAAAUUAUGACUUUGAUUCAGCAUAAAAAUACCUACGCUCAAGAGCAAUAAUAAGGGGUCACUUACGUUUAUAUUGCAUAAUUCAUUGCUCCUCAGUGUAACAAAUAUUUUUUUAUUAUAAAAAUAUUGCCUGUUUCUUCCAUAUACAAUUUAGCUUACAAAAUGAUUCAAACAAGUAACUUACGCGGUUAUCACCUGCGCCUGCGGCCCUCACGCCGCUAUGGUGUGUGAGCGAGACAGCGCUAUGCAAGCGAUGUCCCGCUCGCACAGUGGAGCGGCGUACGGGUCCACAUCUAAUGUGAAGACCGCCUUACCCCACGGAUCAUACAAGAAAAAAAAUCAAAAAUUUUCAAGUGUAAUUUGAACGUGUAAUACAGGAGCAAAAAGAGUUAGUUUUCUUUUGUUUACAAAAUGGAACGAAAGAGAACAAAUGCAAGUCACUCUAGUAAGCCUAGGUCAUGAAGGCUGGUGUUAAUUAGUUCACGGCAACAAUGGUGUCGGUUCUUUAUAACUAGUCCAGUAAACCUCGCACGAUACAAGGUGAGCAACUAGUUAUUGCUGAAAUUUGAAAUAUGGGAAAUAAGUUUAGAGUCACACGAGCCCGCUACCAAAAAGCCCCAUACAAUCGAAGUAAAGCUCUCAUUUUAAAACGACAUGUUUUUAUGGUACCUAUUAGACUAAAAUAUAACAAUUCCAUAUAUAGUCCCACGAGGUCUCAUAUAGAUGCUACAUUAGUAAUGAAGCAGUAUUGUUUAUAUAAGUCAUUAUUGUCAUAAAACUCGUAGUUUUUUACUUUAUAAAACACGUUUAUAACCAAAGGAGUGCCUUUGUAUCAAGAAAAAUCAAAUUUUCUCCUACCUAAACAAAUUGGAAAUGCAAAAAUACAGAUUUUCUAUGUAUGUACCAGUCUAAAGACAUGCAAUAGCAAUCGUCCUUUGUUAUUUAAGUAUUUGAUAAAAUACAGAAAUACAAGCGUGACAGAUUGUGUACAACCCGCAUUAUGAUAAUUCUGCUAAGGUAGAAAAUCAAAUAGGUAUACAUAAAUAUGUAGGUACUUUUCAAAGAACCAUGCGACAAAUGAAAAUGUCUGUCGUUUUCUGCGCAUUUUCGUAAGAUGCAUUAUUUAACAGAUAUAAAGUGAUGUUAAAAGUCAUGACAGCAUUUGUUAAGACUCGAGUUCCUCAAACAUGCAUUAUACAUAUUAUAUUAAGAGCAAAUGAAUACUAAUUUAAGUUUUAGUCAAUUACAUGCAAUACUGUAUAUAUCCUGCAAAGUUGCUUAUAGGUUUAGUUCGAACAGAGCUAAGAGCGGUUUCGCACUACGUCCGAUCCGAAUCCGAUCCGAACCCGUGAAAACAUGGUCCGUAGCAGCCGUAGAACUAUUUCUAUGGUAAGUUACGCACUAGAUCCGAUCUCCGUUAUUCGAUUUCUUUCCGUCAUUCAACGUGUGCGGUGCGAUAUUUUCACGGGUUCGGAUCGGACGUAGUGCGAAACCGCUCUAAGACUGCCUUUCCACUGAGGCAGAGAUGAGAGACCUGCGGGAAUUAUCCAAUUGGUUGUAAUCCAGCAGAGCGGAGAUGUGUGCCAGUGGCGUAGCUAGGCGUGGGCCGUCGCCUACGGCCUCGCGCCCCAAGGGGGGCCUCGCGCGAGGCCCCUUCGGGCACAUUAAAAGAAAAGGGCCUCGUAGAUGCGACUUCGCCCACGGCUAGAUAGUUCACGCUACGCAACUGAUGUGUGCAAUGCUAUUGGUUAAUACCCGCACGUCUCUCCGCCUCAGGCAGCCAGGGCGCCUAGCCAACAUGCCAAUCGUAUUCGCUCCGUAGCGAACGAAACCCCAAUGUCUCCAUCGCACCAAUAUGGUAGAGUGAUAAAGAGAGAUCGCUACACUACGGAGCGUAAACGAUUGACAUGUUGGCUAAGCACCUUAAGGUUCGAAAUGCAAUCGUCACGGAAAUCAAUCUGUAUAACGAGAAAAGCAUUAUUAUGUACACUGGGUACAUUCAGUUUACAACUUGUUACUUAAUAGUUUAUUUUUUAAAUAAUCCAAAAUCUUGCGUAGAUAGUUAACAAAUUUAUAACGUGCCUCUAGUAGGUAGAAUUUAGGAAAAUAAAAAAUUAUAUCGUGCCUUUCUAAAUUGUUUAUAUGUAUGUUUACCAAAUAUAAAACUAAACUGUGA